GUAGGGGGGCGAGCGUUGUCCGGAAUUAUUGGGGCGUAAAGGGCGCGUAGGCGGAUGGUUAAGUCCGAUGUGAAAGAUCAGGGGGCUCAACCCUGAGGGUGCAUCGGAAACUGGGCAUCUUGAGGACAGGAGAGGAAAGUGGAAUUCCACGUGUAGCGGUGAAAUGCGUAGAUAUGUGGAGGAACACCAGUGGCGAAGGCGACUUUCUGGACUGUAACUGACGCUGAGGCGCGAAAGCGUGGGGAGCAAACAGGAUUAGAUACCCUGGUAGUCCACGCCGUAAACGAUGAGUGCUAGGUGUAGAGGGUAUCGACCCCUUCUGUGCCGCAGUUAACACAAUAAGCACUCCGCCUGGGGAGUACGGCCGCAAGGUUG
rnacentral:rRNA from 1 species